CGCGUAGGCGGCUUGUUAAGUCAGAUGUGAAAGCCCCGGGCUCAACCUGGGAAUUGCAUUUGAUACUGGCAGGCUAGAGUGUGGUAGAGGGAAGUGGAAUUCCGGGUGUAGCGGUGAAAUGCGUAGAUAUCCGGGGGAACACCAGUGGCGAAGGCGACUUCCUGACCAACACUGACGCUGAGGUGCGAAAGCGUGGGGAGCAAACA
rnacentral:rRNA from 1 species